rnacentral:rRNA from 1 species
AUUGAACGCUGGCGGCAGGCCUAACACAUGCAAGUCGAGCGAGCGGCGGACGGGUGAGUAAUGUAUGGGGACUGCCCGAUCGAGGGGGAUAACUACUGGAAACGGUGGCUAAUACCGCAUACUAUCGGAUAACCCAUAUGGGAUUAGCUAGUAGGCGGGGUAAAGGCUCACCUAGGCGACGACCGCUAGCGGGUCGGAGAGGAUGAUCGGCCACACUGGGACUGAGACACGGCCCAGAAGCCUAGGGAGGCAGAAGGGGGGAAUAUUGCACAAUGGGCGCAAGCCUGAGGCAGCCAUGCGGCGUGUAUGAAGAAGGCCUUAGGGUUGUAAAGUACUUUCAGCGGGGAGGCGUUACCCGCAGAAGAAGCACCGGCUAACUCCGUGCCAGCAGCCGCGGUAAUUC